AUACGUAGGGAGCGAGCGUUGUCCGGAAUUACUGGGUGUAAAGGGAGCGUAGGCGGGAGUGCACGUUAGAUGUGAAAUCCAAGGGCUCAACCCUGGGGCUGCAUUCGAAACUGCAUUUCUUGAGUGAUGCAGAGGAAAGCGGAAUUCCUGGUGUAGCGGUGAAAUGCGUAGAUAUCAGGAGGAACACCGGUGGCGCAGGCGGCUUACUGGGGCUUUACUGACGCAGAGGCACGAAAGCGUGGGGAGCAAACAGGAUGAGAUACUCUUGUAGUCCACGCUGUAAACGAUGAAUUCUAGGUGUGGUGGGACUGACCCGCUCCGUGCCGGAGUUAACGCAAUAAGCAUUCCGCCUGGGGAGUACGGCCGCAAGGUUGAAACUUAAAUGAAUUGACGGGG
rnacentral:rRNA from 1 species